rnacentral:rRNA from 1 species
UACGGAGGGGACUAGCGUUGUUCGGAAUUCCUGGGCGUAAAGCGCACGUAGGCGGAUUUGUAAGUCAGGGGUGAAAUCCCGAGGCUCAACCUCGGAACUGCCUUUGAUACUGCAAAUCUCGAGUCCGGAAGAGGUGAGUGGAAUUCCUAGUGUAGAGGUGAAAUUCGUAGAUAUUAGGAAGAACACCAGUGGCGAAGGCGGCUCACUGGUCCGGUACUGACGCUGAGGUGCGAAAGCGUGGGGAGCAAACGGG